GAUCCUGGUCAGGAUGAACCGCUAGCUACAGGCUUAACACAUGCAAGUCGAGGGGCAGCAUGGUCUUAGCUUGCUAAGGCUGAUGGCGACCGGCGCACGGGUGAGUAACACGUAUCCAACCUGCCGUCUACUCUUGGCCAGCCUUCUGAAAGGAAGAUUAAUCCAGGAUGGGAUCAUGAGUUCACAUGUCCGCAUGAUUAAAGGUAUUUUCCGGUUAGACGAUGGGAGUGCG
rnacentral:rRNA from 1 species